rnacentral:rRNA from 1 species
CAGCCGCCGCGGUAAUACGUAGGGUGCGAGCGUUAAUCGGAUUUACUGGGCGUAAAGCGUGCGCAGGCGGCCCGUUAAGACAGGUGUGAAAUCCCUGGGCUCAACCUAGGAAUUGCGCUUGUGACUGGCGGGCCCGAGUACGGUAGAGGGGGGUGGAAUUCCUGGUGUAGCAGUGAAAUGCGUAGAGAUCAGGAGGAACACCGAUGGCGAAGGCAGCCCCCUGGGCCUGUACUGACGCUCAUGCACGAAAGCGUGGGGAGCAAACAGGAUUAGAUACCCUGGUAGUCCACGCCCUAAACGAUGGGUACUAGCCGUUUGGUGCGCGAUAGCGCUGAGUGGCGAAGCUAACGCGUGAAGUACCCCGCCUGGGGAGUACGGCCGCAAGGUUGAAACUUAAAGGAAUUGGCGGG